GUAUACGUUCGCUGAGGCCCUCGGGGCACCUCCCACCCGUGUUGCCCGAACCUAUGUUGCCUCGGCGGGCCCCGCGCCCGCCGACGGCCCCCCUGAACGCUGUCUGAAGUUGCAGUCUGAGACCUAUAACGAAAUUAGUUAAAACUUUCAACAACGGAUCUCUUGGUUCCGGCAUCGAUGAAGAACGCAGCGAAAUGCGAUAACUAAUGUGAAUUGCAGAAUUCAGUGAAUCAUCGAGUCUUUGAACGCACAUUGCGCCCUCUGGUAUUCCGGAGGGCAUGCCUGUCCGAGCGUCAUUGCUGCCCUCAAGCCCGGCUUGUGUGUUGGGCCCCGUCCCCCCCGCCGGGGGGACGGGCCCGAAAGGCAGCGGCGGCACCGCGUCCGGUCCUCGAGCGUAUGGGGCUUCGUCACCCGCUCUAGUAGGCCCGGCCGGCGCCAGCCGACCCCCAACCUUUAAUUAUCUCAGGUUGACCUCGGAUCAGGUAGGGAUACCCGCUGAACUUAAGCAUAUCAAUAAAAGGAGG
rnacentral:rRNA from 1 species